rnacentral:rRNA from 1 species
GCAUGGUAGGCAGUUUGACUGGGGCGGUCUCCUCCCAAAGAGUAACGGAGGAGUUCGAAGGUUACCUAGGUCCGGUCGGAAAUCGGACUGAUAGUACAAUGGCACAAGGUAGCUUAACUGCGAGACCGACAAGUCGAGCAGGUGCGAAAGCAGGACAUAGUGAUCCGGUGGUUCUGAAUGGAAGGGCCAUCGCUCAACGGAUAAAAGGUACUCCGGGGAUAACAGGCUGAUUCCGCCCAAGAGUUCAUAUCGACGGCGGAGUUUGGCACCUCGAUGUCGGCUCAUCACAUCCUGGGGCUGUAGUCGGUCCCAAGGGUAUGGCUGUUCGCCAUUUAAAGUGGUACGUGAGCUGGGUUUAAAACGUCGUGAGACAGUUUGGUCCCUAUCUGCAGUGGGCGUUGGAAGUUUGACGGGGGCUGCUCCUAGUACGAGAGGACCGGAGUGGACGAACCUCUGGUGUACCGGUUGUGACGCCAGUCGCAUCGCCGGGUAGCUAAGUUCGGAAGAGAUAAACGCUGAAAGCAUCUAAGCGUGAAACUCGCCUGAAGAUGAGACUUCCCUAGGGAUUUAAUCCCUCUGAAGAGACGUUCGAGACCAGGACGUUGAUAGGUCGGGUGUGGAAGAGUGGUAACACUUGGAGCUAACCGAUACUAAUUGCUCGUGAGGCUUGACUCUAU